rnacentral:tRNA from 1 species
GCCCCUGUAGCUCAACUGGUAGCAGCACCGGUUUCGUAAACCGGCGGUUGUCGGUUCGAACCCGACCGGGGGCAC